GAUUGAAUUCACAGGUCCAUGUUGUAUUUCGUUGUCAUGUCUCCUUGGUUGGCAAUAUAUGAACGUAUCUCAGUCGUGGAAGACAUUGACACUUUUGAAGAGUACAGCUCCAUGUGAUUUGUCCUUGCUGAUGAAGCAGUAACAUAUACAGCAUUGCUCUAGUGUCUGCAUUCUGUGGAACGGAGGACAUGGAUUCUCACUAUGACACCCAGGCUGGAGUGCAGUGGCACAAUCAUAGCUGACUACAGCCUCGAAUUUCUGGGCUCAAGCAAGGCUUUCAUCUCAACCUCCCCAGGAGCUGGGAUUACAGAUGGUGUCAGAAGCGGGGUUCAAAGUAGAGCUUUAAUGACCCCCAGAAGUGCUGAGUGAACAAGCAAGGUACCUGCAAGGACCCACUUGUGUCCUUUGAUCUCUCAGAGCAGUGGAUAAUAGGCCAUCAAACCCUUUGAAUCUAACUUACUGUUGAAUUGUUGGUUGAUACAAGAAACAAGAAAAUAGAAGCUGAAACUUACAUUUAUAUUGUUCAGUUCUAGAGGCUGAUAAGUCCAAGCAUAUGGUGCCAGCAUCUGGUGAGGCCUUCUUGCUGUGUAAUCUCAUGGCAGAAGAGUGGAAGGACAAGUGAGCACAUGCAAAAGGGAUUGUACAAGACUUAUCUUUUAGUCUCCAGAGGCAGAAAAAAAGCAGAAAAGGUUGUUGAAAUUCUUCACAUUGAUUUCAGGGCAAUGAUCUCAAACGGCGCAGUGGGAACCCGCAAAUUUAAGAGCAAAGCUAGAGGAAACCAAAGUCAUAGAACAUCUGAACUCUGUCCAAACAUCGGUCGUAUUUCAAAAUUUCAGAGCCUCAGACUUCCAUGAUAAUAUCUGCCUAGUCUUUAGAAGAGUGUAUGGAAGUGUUCAAGAACCUUUCCUGAAACAACUUCUAUUACAGACACUGCUUCUUCAUGGUUAUUCCAUCAGAUUGCAAUCACUUAUAUGUUUUUUUCCACUCUUCCUUAUAUUAUGAGCACUUUUCACGUAGGGGUUCAUCUCUUUAAUAAUCAUAGCUCCCAACACAAUUGUAGGCUUAUAUUAGAUGCUCGAUAAAGAUGAGUUGAGUUAACAUGUAAAGUAAUGAAUGAGUAAGGAAAAAUAGAAUAGUUUCGAAUUAAUGCAUGUUACUGCUACUGUAAAUUUAAUGUUUUCAUUUCUAUUACUAUUUAUAUAUAAAUUUAAUUAAUUGUUAACUUUCUUUGCCAUCCAUACAUCUAUUUAUCUGCUCAUUUGAAAAUCUCUUUCCUGUUUCCUAUUAUUCAAAAUAUUAAAAGCAAAUAUUACUUAAAUAUUUAAAUCACUCUUUUUCCAUGUUAAGUUUCUCAGGAUGCAGAAUGUUGCUGUACACUGAGAAAUAUUAGGCGAUACAAAAUGGCUACUAUAACGUAAUGUUCUAGAAAAUGAUAAAAGUCAAACCCAUUGGUUUUUGCUGCCAACACAAGUUUGUCAAUGUAAUUAAUGCCCUUUAGCCUGGGAGGGUUGUAUGACAGGAAAAAUGGCAUCAAAGCCAUUUUUAUUUAAAAAAUAAAUUUAAUAUUACUUGAUAAUAAGGGAGCUAUAUAAGCAAAAAUCUUAGAAUUUUCUUUUUCUUUUUUUUCCUUAGUUUCACAUCUUUCUACAUAGUAUCCAAAUCCCAGUUGUUGAUACUAAUUUUCUUGCCUUCUUACCCUUAACAAGUUUGGAGACAAAGUUAAUAUCAUUAGUAGUAUGUAAACUAAUUCCUAAAGCAAAAGUCUCUAAAAGUGUGAUCCAUGUCCCAUUUUUUAUUGGUCUGCAAUGAGGUAAGCACAGAAAUUUUAAUCACCUCCACGCAUACCUUCAAUGAGCAACAUGUACAGUUUUUUGAGACUCUUCUCUCUUUUCCUGUUAUUUUCUGAUUGCAUUUAUAAAAAUGCAAUUUUGUGUUUGUUGAAUCUGAUGAUAAAAAAUGAGGAAACACCGCAUAUUCUCACUCAUAGGUGGGAAUUGAACAAUGAGAUCACAUGGACA
rnacentral:lncRNA from 10 species